GAACAGGUUGCCUCGGGUUCAUCAGUGCAAUGACACAGGUACUCUCUACACGACCAUCCCGACUUGGCCCGAAUUGUCCCUUCUGUCACUUGCAGGUGUUAUGACAAGUAACAAACCACAGUGGAAAUGUUUGAAUUUUCCUGUCUCUGUCCCUAAAAUACCUCUCUGGGACGCCGUAGUGGUGACAGGAGAUAAAACUCUGUGUAGCUGUCCUAUAGCUUCUGCCUUUUCUGUGGGCUGGGCUGCAGACCUCCUUCAUAGUAAUGUUUGUAAUUGUAAAGUUUAUUCUUCGGUGUAGGACAUGAAUGAUAAUAGGUUUAAACAGCUUCACAACUAAAGCAUAAAGGAUGAGGGACACGGAUUUCUUGGAUCUUCAAUUUUUAAAAAGCUGAAGAACAUUGUUCUGGCUUUGUUUUCAGUGCUGGGGAUUGAAUCCAGGGCCUCACACAUGUUAAGCAUGGCUGUACCACUGGGCACACCCCAGCCCUGUCCUGGCUUCCCCCACUACAGAGGCAGUGAUGAGGGGGAAGAGCCUGGAUGCUGUGUCACCCAGACAGACUCUCUCCUGCAACUUCUGCUGUCCUCCACUACACACAACUAGAGGCCAGGUGAGCCACCCUUCAUUCAUUCAGGAGGCAGCUGUGACUUGGGGCAUCUCUCACCCUCCCUCACCCUCGAUUUCUUCCUGCAGUAACAGCCUCUCAGGGCCAAUGGGAAAGUUAAAGAACCAGAACUGCAUAGCUGGUGCUCACGUGAAAACAAAGGGCCUGUCUGGCCUGGUUACUGUUCUCCGUCUCUGAAGGGCUCCAGGCAGUGCAGGCACAGCCUCCCACCUUGCUAAUGCUCUGCCAUUACUCCUUCCUGUGCUGUCCUCCCUCCGAGGGUUGGAGGCCCACACCAGCGGAGAAGGUGCUGUUGACUCACUCUCACAACUACCAGUCUUUGUGUUAUCAG
rnacentral:lncRNA from 1 species